ACCUACGGGGCGCAGCAGUGAGGAAUAUUGGUCAAUGGCCGGAAGGCUGAACCAGCCAAGCCGCGUGAAGGACGAAGGUGCCAAGCAUUGUAAACUUCUUUUGUCAAGGGACAAAAUCAGGCUCGAGAGCCUGACCGAGGGUACUUGAAGAAAAAGCAUCGGCUAACUCCGUGCCAGCAGCCGCGGUAAUACGGAGGAUGCGAGCGUUAUCCGGAUUUAUUGGGUUUAAAGGGUGCGUAGGCGGAGUGUCAAGUCAGCGGUAAAAUUUCGGGGCUCAACCCCGUCGUGCCGUUGAAACUGACGCC
rnacentral:rRNA from 1 species